ACGGAGGGAGCUAGCGUUGUUCGGAAAUACUGGGCGUAAAGCGCGCGUAGGCGGCUUUUCAAGUCAGGGGUGAAAUCCCGGGGCUCAACCCCGGAACUGCCCUUGAAACUGGAUCGCUAGAAUACUGGAGAGGCAAGUGGAAUUCCGAGUGUAGAGGUGAAAUUCGUAGAUAUUCGGAAGAACACCAGUGGCGAAGGCGACUUGCUGGACAGUGAUUGACGCUGAGGUGCGAAAGCGUGGGGAGCAAACAGG
rnacentral:rRNA from 1 species